CCCUUCGGGGUACUCGAGCGGCGAACGGGUGAGUAACACGUGAGCAACCUGCCCUAGGCUUUGGGAUAACCCCGGGAAACCGGGGCUAAUACCGAAUAGGACCUCUGGUCGCAUGACCGGAGGUGGAAAGUUUUUCGGCCUGGGAUGGGCUCGCGGCCUAUCAGCUUGUUGGUGGGGUGAUGGCCUACCAAGGCGACGACGGGUAGCCGGCCUGAGAGGGCGACCGGCCACACUGGGACUGAGACACGGCCCAGACUCCUACGGGAGGCAGCAGUGGGGAAUAUUGCACAAUGGGCGGAAGCCUGAUGCAGCGACGCCGCGUGAGGGAUGACGGCCUUCGGGUUGUAAACCUCUUUCAGCAGGGACGAAGCGUAAGUGACGGUACCUGCAGAAGAAGCGCCGGCCAACUACGUGCCAGCAGCCGCGGUAAGACGUAGGGCGCGAGCGUUGUCCGGAUUUAUUGGGCGUAAAGAGCUCGUAGGCGGCUUGUCGCGUCGACUGUGAAAACCCGCAGCUCAACUGCGGGCCUGCAGUCG
rnacentral:rRNA from 1 species